GCAGUUACGUCGCAAUAACUAGACUUAUCUCCACUGCGCUGCGAUAAGUCAGCGCAUAAAUAAUUCGUUCGAUGACGGUUAGAAGCAACUCGGAGCAUUUUCUUUUGUAGCCCGCGUUGACUCGUGUUUCUUUGCAUAAGCGGCUUUAUCUUGCUCAGACGGUAAUUAGCAUUUUGCGUGCUGAGUUCAAUAUAUCUGUCAAGGCCGCGGCGCCACACAGAAGAUGCGAUGGCCUGCCUUGGCACUGGUGGUGGGCAGCAGGCCUAGCCAAGGCGCCCGCCCGCCAGGUGAGGGUGGUGGGUAUGGCUUCACUCGCAGGUUCUGCGGCUUGUGCACACUUCUGCGCCUCGUUACAAGCUGAUUCGCACUUCACGUUGACCUGGGAGUGAGUGAGGGACGCGGCGGAAGGUCCGUGCAUGGUCCUAACUUCCAUCGCUCAUCCCUUCCGCGGCCACGGCCUCCAUCUCCGCAACCCACACAUCGCACAUCCACUGGCAACCCACACAUGUCCCCUGACGUCAUGCCUUGACACAUCAAGCAGGGCCUUCCGAACAACCACCUGUGCAACGGUUGACAGGUGCUGGCCCCAACGCAGCUCUCAGCUCAUCAGCUUCAAGCCCAACAACCCUCCGCAACCCAGACACGAGCACAGCUAGACGCCAGCAAUUCGCUAUCCGCCUCUGCAACCCGUCCGGCACCGAGAGAACUUGGUCCUUAACACACGGUCCAUACAUUGUGGUGAAGCAAGUUAGCAAGAUGCAUGCAGCCGUGCUGUCCGUUACCAAUAUGGCGACCAUGCUGCCCACCUCCUCUGUCUCACGCGCUCAUGCUUAUAAUACAUAUAGAUUAAUGGUACAACGAACGCGCGUUUUGAUGUAGCACCCGCCACAUGCAUGCACGCUCCCAAAUACACACGCGGUGCGGCCGAGCCUCUUGGCUGCUUCGCAACCCCGCGCGUGCCUCCCUUCUGCCUCCAGCUGCACAAGCCAGGCUGGCGAACGCGCCACACAGCGCCUCACAGUUAGCCUUUCCACACCUUGUGAGCAACCACCCGACACAUAGCAUGUCCCGGUCUAUCGUAUUCUUCUCUUGUGAGAAGACCGCACGUCUGAGCGCUCCUGUUCCGCGCUGCACUUGUGCUCUGCCACCUAGCCGGGCUUGCGAACGCCCGGAAGCGCCCUCCCCUUCCCGUAGAGUGCGCAGGCUUGCUGCACAAACCAAGCCCGUUCGGAGUACGUACAACUGUGGUAUAUAUCAAGGUCCCGGCCACAUACUGGCGUUGCCCCAUCCGACGUGUGAAGGCCAGAUGUGAGAAAGAAACGGCGACUCUCCUCUCAAGGGAGACCUCAAGGGAGACAUCAAAUGAAGCGUACUGUACACUAAGAAGUGCUGCUGUGUACAACGCCACGAGUCGCGCAACCCAUUUGCUGCGCAGUGACGAGAUGCGCUACGGCCCUGCCACUCGCAGGCCCAGCGCCGAGGGCCAGUGUGAGCCGCCAUGCGCCGUUGCAAGCGCUCCAGCCCACUCGCCUGUAUGCAUCUGCGCUGCUGGUCCCCCACGCGCUCCAAGCUCCAGCGAGGGCUGCGAGGCGCGCCCACGUGAGCACAUUCCAUCGUCUGGCGCCCGAUCCCCGGCGCCUUCCUUGCAGGAGGUAGGCGGCCCGGGCGGUAGGCCAACCGCGAGCAGCCUGACAGCAGCACUAUACUAACAGCGGACGUGCAUUUACGUGCCUCGGUGCCGCAGCGGUGGCUGCUACGGCGCCCAGCACUCCACCAUCCGGCGGCCCGGCCCUCCCGCUCCCUGCCUCCACUAGUUGCGGCCCAUGCCGCCGGAGGACGAGG
rnacentral:lncRNA from 1 species